rnacentral:rRNA from 1 species
CCUACGGGAGGCAGCAGUGGGGAAUAUUGGACAAUGGGGGCAACCCUGAUCCAGCCAUGCCGCGUGUGUGAAGAAGGCCCUCGGGUUGUAAAGCACUUUCAGUGAGGAAGAACGCCUGGUGGUUAAUACCCAUCAGGAAAGACAUCACUCACAGAAGAAGCACCGGCUAACUCCGUGCCAGCAGCCGCGGUAAUACGGAGGGUGCGAGCGUUAAUCGGAAUUAUUGGGCGUAAAGCGCGCGUAGGUGGCUUGAUAAGCCGGUCGUGAAAGCCCCGGGCUCAACCUGGGAACGGCAUCCGGAACUGUCAAGCUAGAGUGCAGGAGAGGAAGGUAGAAUUCCCGGUGUAGCGGUGAAAUGCGUAGAGAUCGGGAGGAAUACCAGUGGCGAAGGCGGCCUUCUGGACUGACACUGACACUGAGGUGCGAAAGCGUGGGUAGCAAACAGGAUUAGAUACCCUUGUAGUC